AAGUUCUCUAGAACAGAUUGGACAGCCGUUGACAGCAUCUAGCCCUUCUUUGGCCAAGAAGCCUAACUGCACGUCACCAGCUACAUCUGGAAGCAGUGCCAUGCAGCUGGGAAGAACCCACGGGAAAUCGCCCACGCAAGGUCUCAGGCUUGGCCUCUCUAGGUUGGCAAGAGUGAAAUCACUGCACCCGAGUUUUGCCAGUACCUGAGUACGUGCGCUGGCUUCAGAGGGUCGCAAAUUGAAAUUAAAUACUUUAGGUGUGGUGUAGAAUUUUUUAAAAUUGCAGAUUUUGUUUCAGGCAAUAUAUAUUUAUCAUUCUGAAUGAGAUAAAGUUUAUGCAUUUAAAAAAAGAUUUCAUUCUCAAAAAGUGUAAAGUGUGAGGUAUUGACAACACUUAAACUCCAAUGUUGUUGUGACACACACACAAACACACACCCGCACACUGAAAUGUUCAGAUCAUUGGCUGGCUUAAUACUUCAUAGAAGUCAAUUGUGAUCCAGGGUAGUUUCCAGUUUUUAGAUGCUGCAUUUUGAAUCAUCAUGAAGACCAGUUCACUUGUAACUUGGAUAUUUUGCUAAAAGCAAUAUUGAAGUUUCACCUUGAUACCUUCAUCCUUUUGAUAGAAAACAUAUUUUCAGAAAUUUAUGCUGUUAUUUUUCUGAUGUUUGCAUUUAUGCGUGGAUUUUAUUGGUAAAUGUAUAUUAUGUAUCUCUGUCCCUUUCAAGUGAAAUAAAAUAUCUGUAUAAAGAGCAAAGA